rnacentral:lncRNA from 1 species
GGCUUUCACCAUGUUAGCCAGGAUGAUCUCCAUCUCCUGACCUUGUGAUCUGCCCGUCUCGGCCUCCCAAAUGCUGGGAUUACAAGGCAUGAGCCAUCAUACCCAGCUCAAUCAAAAUAUUUCACACAGCUGCUGAUGAAUGAAUGUAUGCCUGUAUUAUUUGAAAUAUGGUAAUAUAUUGUUUUAAAAGUACUAGUGAGACUGAAAAUUUUUCUUCUAACACAUUUUCUAAACUUUUCAAUAACUGACCCACUGCAAUUACAAAAAGUGCAAUAUACUUCCUCCGCCUCCCGGGUUCAAGCUAUUCUCCUGCCUCAGCCUCCCAAGUAACUGGGAUUACAGGUGUGUAACACCACGCCCGGCUAAUUUUUUUUAUAUUUUUAGUAGAUACGGGGUUUCACUGUGUUGCCCAGGCUGGCCUUGAACUCCUCACCUUAAGUGAUCCACCCACCUUGGCCUCCCAAAGUGCUGGGAUUACAGGCGUGAGCCACUGCGCCCGGCCAAUAUAAAAUUAAGGAUUCAACGGAACAACAACAAAAAGAUUUAAAGUUUAGCAACUAGUAGUCUUAUGUUUUUUUUUGACACA